ensembl:lncRNA
GUGUUUGCUUUACUGCAGUGAUGUUCAUAUAAAAGCAAAAUGAGCAAUUACAUUAUCUUAGACAUGGCUGAAUUGUUCAUGUCAGAAAAAAUCUUUGUAUCAUUAUGCAAAUGAAACGUACUUUUGUGGAAAUAUGUGGCACAGCAUCAAACUGGGAUGCUUAAAUAUAAAUCCUUAUGUUUUCGUCCGGUUAAUUCACCCUCAAAAAUAUGGGUAGGAUGAAAUUCAGGUUAUUAUUGCCCCUUCACAAAAAUGGUAAUGGUAUUGAUUGCUAUAUGUAUGGCAUUGUAGAGCUGAUGGAUCUUGGGAAACUGUGCCUCAGUUUCCUCAUCUGUAAAAUGGGAAUAAUAAUACCAGUAUCCUGGAUUGUUGCAAGGGUGAAAUGAGUUAAUAUAUGUGAAGUGCUUAGAAUAGAGCCUCGCACAUAGUAAGAGCUACUAGCAUAUAAAUGUUAACCAUUGCAUGAAAAUACUGUAUGAUUAUCUUUUGGAAGCCAGACACAAUUUAGGUAUGCAUUUUUUUGGUCAUGCCCAAGGUAUGUGGAAGUUCCUGGGCCAGGGAUUGAAUCCACAUGUCAGCAGUGACCUGAGCCACAGCAGUGACAACACCAGAUCCUUAACUACUGGGCCACUAGGAAACUCCUAGGCAUGCAUUUUUAUAAUGUGGUAUUUCUUUUUUAAUGCUUCGGCCAAGAUAAUUAUGAUUAAAUCCAACAGUGACAAAUCCAAAUGUUUAAGUGUUUUAAAGUAGAGAGGUAUUUUGUUUUGCUUUGCAUUUUUGUUUUUGUGUUUGUUUUGCUUUCUAGGGCCGCAGCUGGGGCAUAUGGAGGUUCCCAGGACUAGGGGUCCAAUCAGAGCUAGAGCUGCCGACCUAUGCCACAGCCACAGCAAUGCCAGAACUGAGCUGUGUCUGUGACCUAUACCACAGCUCACAGCAACACCGGAUCUUCAACCCACUGAUUGAGGCCAGGGAUCAAACCAUCCUCAUGGAUCCUAGUUGGGUUCAUUAACCUCUGAGCCACAAGGGCAAUUCCAUUGUUUUGCAAAUUUUUGAUAAUUGAAUUACCCUCGGAGUGUUCCUUUUCAGGUGGGAUGUACUUGUCAGAGUGGAAGUAAGCCUCGUCAGUAGAACCUUAUGAUUUCUUCCUUUUACAUCUGAUUGUGGGGUCUCUGCUUCUGGUCCUCUUUCUUAAUCCCUGUGGCAGGACCCUCUGCUCUGUUUUGCUUCUUGCACAGUCUGUUACGAUUCACCUCUCGCUCUUCCUGCAGAAGGCAGCCAGCCCUUGCGGUGGGUAAACUUUAGAACAUUUAGAUUUCAAUUUUGCAGCUUAUCUGUGCACAUUAAACAGCCAGCCUGUGCCAGUUUUCUCCCAGGCUCUUUUUGGCACGAGAGUGAUGACUGGCCGCUUGGGUCAGGAAUGCUGCGUGCUCCUCUGUGGGUGGCCAGAAGCCGAGCUGAAAGAGUUCAGCUUUCCGCUAUUCCAGUCUUUUCUGCUGCAGAAAAGGAUGUCAUCAUAACUUUGAUAAGUUGACGAUGGCCAGUUCAUUUCCUUUUUGACACUGCAGUAGUUAUUUUUAACAAGUAACUUGAAAUUCAAGGGCAUAUGAACCCUAGGCGGGAUUAUCUGAAGCGCUCUGAGCUCUUCCUGAGCCAUCUCUCUAGGCUUGGUCUAGGAACUGUGGGCAGGAAACAAAGAAUUUAUUUCUGGACUGCUGAUCUGAGCCUGUUGUCACCUCAUUUAUUUAUUGGUGCUUUAAAUUUGUCAAAAGGCUUAAUAUAAAAUGUAAAACCAUAUCCAAUAAUUUGUAUCUUUCUAAUCUCUUUUUGAUAAUUUCACAAGUGACUAGUGGGAUCUGUAGUUAAGGGAUACCAGAGGAACUUUUUCUUUCUACAUAUCCAAUCUAAUAUUUAUGUAUUUAUCUAUCAGUCAAGCUCUUGAACCAGAAACCGUAGUGGGGGAGUUCCCAUUGUGGCUCGGUUGUUAAGAACCCAACAUAGUGUCUGUGAGGAUUCGGAUUCCAUCUCUGGCCUCACUCAGUGGGUUAAGGAUCCGGUGUUGCUGGAAGCUGUAGGUUCAGAUCCAGUGGCUGUGGUGUAGGCCACCAGCUGCAGCUCCAAUUCGUCCCCUAGCCUGGGAGCUUCCAUAUGCUGAGGGUGGGGCCCUAAAAAAAAAUGUGGAUCACAGGAAGCCAGAGAGAAGAAAAUAUAUACUGUACAAUUCCUUAUCAGUUUCAAAGUGGGUGAAAAAAGAAACCUUUUUCGGAUUGCAUACUUAGAAGUUGGGAGUCAUGACUAUUCCAGGCAAGUCCCUCUGAGCGGAUGACAGUCAUUUAGUUCUUAUAAUUUCUGUAAUUUUAUUGAGUUCAACUGCCAUACAUUACUGUAUACAUUUAAAGUGUACAGCAUCAUGAGUUGACUUUCAUAUAUCAUGAAAAGAUGACCAUAGUAAGUUUAGUUAACAUCCAUCAUCUCAUAGAGAUACAGGAAAAGAAAAAGAUAAAACACUUUUCUCCUUGUGAUGAGAACUCUUGGGAUUUACUCCCUUAACAACUUUCCUAUGUAUCGUAUGGCAGCAUUAACUCUAGUCAUCAUGCUGUAUAUUAUUUUGUAGCAUUUAUCUCAUAGCUAUAAGUUUGUAUCUUUUGACCACCACCUCCAGUUCCUUCUCCUCUAACUCCCACCUCUGGUAACUAUAAUGAUAGCUACAGACCGGAUCCUUUUUCUAUAAGAUGUUUUUAUUUUAAGAUUCCACAUAUAAGUCAGAUCAUAUAGUAUUUGUCUUUCUCUGUGACUUAUUUCACUUAGCAUCAUACCCUCUAGGUCUGUCUGUGUUGUUGCCAAGACAGCAUUUUGGUCCUAAUCAAACCUUCUCAUGGUUAAGGAAACCCCUUCACGCUGAGGGUUAGUAAGAAGCCCUGUGAACUUGGAUGUGCCCAGUCUCCAUCCCUGGUUUCUUGGUGGGAAUAACCAUCUGUUAAUUCUCACUGUGCCUUCGUUUCUUUCUUUUAAGUUGGACAUAAAUACCUUUCUGCUCAGAAUCUUUUACUGAGUAAGGGGGAAAGAGAAGAAAUCUCACACUGGCCAGUUUAGUUACUUGCUGACAGUUUGUUUAGAGUUCAAACAAGAAGGCUUUGAAGGAGAAUUGAGCACAGUCUCUGGAUUUACCAGUCUUCCAUGUUUUUCUUCCAUCAAUGUAAAUCACUCUGAGAUGGCUAAUAGUGUUUGGUUGUAAGCUCUGAUCUACUGAGCUGUUAGCCAAAAGACUGUUGUCCCCAUAACACAGUGGGCUCUUCCUGUCCUUGUGUUCCAGGAUUCAACCAUAGAUUGAAAAUAUUUGGGGGAAAAAUUCCAGGAAGUUCUGGAAAGCAAAACUUGAAUUUGCUAUGCAGACUCAAACUGUUUUUGAAUUUGCACUAGCAACAAUUUAUAUAACAUUUACAUUGUAUUAGUUAUUAUGAGUAAUCUGGAGAUGAUUCAAAGUAUACAGGAGGAUGUGUGUAGGUGAUAUGCAAAUACUGCACCAUUUUAUAUAAGGGAUUUGAGCAUCUGUGGAUUUUGGUAUCUGAGGAGGGUCCUGGAACCACCAAAGGAUGACUGAUGCACAUUUUUUCAAAAUACAAAAUUUUCAUGAUAAUCAUGAGCUCAACAAAUUCAGCUACAUUAUGUAUUGGUCCCUUUUUGUGCUUUAGCUUUAAUUGUUACUCAGAUAACUUUAAAUAAAAUCAUUUUUUUUAGAAUCAUUCCUAACUCAAAUAAAAUACUAAAUGCUGAGGUUUUUUUUUUUUUUUUUUUUUCUUUUCUUUUCUCUUUUUCUUUUUGGUCUUUUGUCUUUUUAGGGCUGGACCUGCAGCAUAUGAAGGUUUCCAGGCUAGGGGUCGAAUCGGAGCUGGAGCCGCCAGCCUACACCACAGCCACAGCAAUGCGGGAUCCAAGCCAGGUCUUCGACCUACACCAUAGCUCAUGGCAACGCUGGAUCCUUAACCCACUGAGCGAGGCCAGGGAUGGAACUCGCAACCUCAUGGUUCCUAGUCGGAUUCAUUAACCACUGAGCCACGACAGGAACUUCAAAUGCCAAGUAUUUUAACUAAUUAGAUAAAAGAUUUGGAAUAAACUUUUUAAGGUGGGAUAAACUAAAUUAUUAAACUUUUCCUUAAAAGCUCUCCGGUUACAAGUUUCCAGAAGGACAAUUUUAAGCAAAUCUGCUUUAAUCACCUGAAGAUUGGAUAUUGAAUGAAAUAAAUACAAAACAUAUAUGUGUAUAUAUUCUUUUUCUAGAGGAGUAUCUGCCAGAUAGUAAAAUAAAUAAUGAUAAAUUGUUAAACUGCAGGCAUACCUCAGUUUCUUGCACUUCACUGUACUGUACUUUGCAGAUGUUGCAUUUUUUACAAGUUGACGGGUUUGGGCAACCUUGUGUCAGUCAAGUCUAUUUGUGCCAUUUCCAACAGCAUUUGCUCAUUUUGUGUCUUUGCGUCAUAUUUUGGUAAUUCUCAAUAAAUACUUCAUGGACUUCCCAUUGUGGCUCGGCGGUUUACAAACCUGACUAGUAUCCAUGAGGACGUGGGUUCUAUCCCUGGCCUUGCUCAGUGGGUUAAGGAUCCGGCAUUGCCGUGAGCCGUGGUGUAGGUCGCAGGUACGGCUCAGAUCCCUCGGCGUUGCUGUGGCUGUGGCGUAGGAUGGCAGCUGCAGCUCCAAUUCAACCCCUAACCUGGGAAAUUCCAUAUGCUGUGAGUGGGACCCUAAAAAAAAAAAGACAAAAAAGAAUAGUUCAGGAGUUCCUGUCGGGGCGCAGUGGUUAACGAAUCCGACUAGGAACCAUGAGGUUGCGGGUUCGGUCCCUGCCCUUGCUCAGUGGGUUAACGAUCCGGCGUUGCCCUGAGCUGUGGUGUAGUUUGCAGACACGGCUCGGAUCCUGCGUUGCUGUGGCUCUGGCGUAGGCCAGGGGUUACAGCUCCGAUUCGACCCCUAGCCUGGGAACCUCCAUAUGCCGUGGCAGCGGCCCAAGAAAUGGCAAAAAGACAAAAAAAAAAAAAAAAAAAAAAAAA